rnacentral:lncRNA from 1 species
CAGAUUUUCAGGACCUAAGAAGAUCCGGCCCUCUUAGUGCGGCUGCAGCCUCGGCGGGCUUCUGCUCCCGGGCAGUGUCUCUGGUCUUGAAAUUGCGCAGAGUCCAGAGCUAUGCCUCUCCAAGCUCAGAAGACGAGUAGUUUUGUUGUUUUGUUUUGUUUUGUUUUGUUUUGUUUUGUUUUGUUUUGUUUUGUUUUGUUUCUGUUUUCUCCGAGCAGGAGGGAGUCAGGGUGUUCUGCCUGUUGGAUGGGAGUGCAUUUCAGGGUCCCAGGAGGGACCGCUUGGCUUGGAUUAGCCCCUGUUUUCUCUGGUGCCCUAGAGGGACCGAAGACAACUUUCACACGCCUUCCGGCAAGUUUGUGGUUUGUCUUCUGGUUCCAAAACCAAAAGUUCUUCUAAGAGCGAGGACUGAAGAAGGAUCAUACCCGCGGAACCGUACACAUGUGGCCAUCCAGUGCCCAGAGAGCUGCCCAUGGUAGUUAACUGGUUAGGGAGAGGAUAGGCAGCCGGAACCGGCUGCAUGGCAGAGAAGGCCAGCCCCCCAGGCAUCUUGUACUCCCUAGCGAUGAUGUUCUCGAUAGCAAAGGGAUGCUUGAAGCCGGAAGGCUGCGCCACACCGCCCAGGUUGUACGCAGCGGCCGGCAUCUGCGGCAGAUGCGUGCCCGAGGCGGCCAGCGCGCUGAGCCGCAGCUUAGCCUGCUGCUGGAGGUACUGCGCGGCGUCCGCCGGCUUGCUGGGCGCCAGGUGGUCUGACUUGAGCACCUUGAAGCGCUUGCGACGCCGCAGGAAGCUCCCGUUCUCGAACAUGUCCCCGCAGCUGGGAUGCAGCGCCCAGAAGCUGCCCUUGCCCGGCUGGUCUGGCCGCCUCGGGAUCUUGAUGAAGCAAUCGUUGAAGGAGAGAUUGUGGCGCAGGCUGUUCUGCCAGCGCUGCGUGUUCUCCCGGUAGUAGGGGAAGCGGUCCAUGAUGAACUUGUAGAUCUCGCUGAGCGGCAGCAUCUUCUCCGGAGAGCUCUGGAUGGCCAUGGCGGUCAGCGAGAUGUAUGAGUAGGGCGGCUUCUGGUCGCUGGGCAGCGCCUACCGGUGUGCGCAAUGGGAAGGUAUGAGCGGAGCAGCGCGCGGAGCCGGCUGGCAGGCCGCGCCGGUGGUGUUUGACAUGGAAAUUGCUCGGCUGGGGUAUUCUGUUUCCUUUGCUUUGUGUCGGGUUUGUAUUGUUAGCUAACUUAGCAACCAGAAGGGCUGGGGACCUUGGUAAAGGCAUGAGGAGAAGUGUUAAGGACAUGUUUGUUUAACAAAACAGCUGAUCAAGGACACUGCUUACCCUGGAAGUCCGGAGUUCCCAGGGCUGAAGAUAAAGGAAGUCAAGAAUUGGUCUUCCCAGUAAGACAGGUGGAGGACUGAGCUCAUUUGGCUUGCUGUUUUUAUCUCUGUGCUGAAAGACAAGGACAUACCUGCCUUGCCUGGAGCUUCUGGUUACAGCUGUGUGCUGGCCUUACAACAGGCUGGCCUUAAAGACAGACCAGGUCCUAAGGGCAAACCAAAAGGAGGUAGGCAAGAGACAGUAAGAAGCAAACACUUUACCUUGUGAAGUUAAGAUUUAGGUCUGGAAAUAGAUCCCCUACCCCCAGGGCUCUCUCUGGUCCCCUGCUGGUCCUCUCUUCCUGCUUCUCCCUCAGAUCACCUUCCUAGAUCCUGCCACUCCAGAGUGACUCCUAAAGACUGGAAAGGGAAAGAGGAGUUAGCAGAGAUGGAAGUGGAGGUCCAACCCCAGCCUUGAACUGACUGUGACCCAUACAGAGCUGCCAGACAGUGAGGCAGAACCUCUCCUGCCUGGGCUCCUCUGCCCCAGCGCCAAAUGGCUUCGUAUGCUUAUGCCUCAAAUGGAGCUGCAUCUGAAUGCUAUGUCUGCCGCUCACUAUGUACAGAUGACUGGAAAACUGCAGAAGAGCAGGCAAGUCACCCAGAACUCUGCACAGAGAUGAAGACAGUUCGAAAUAUUGAUACUUCAAUUUCCCAUCUGUCGUUUUUCAUUCUGUUGAUUUUGCAUUUAGCUCAGGCUUGACUCAAACUCUGCAGCCAUGGGUUACUCAAAGCCAUUUGAAUUCCCAGUUUAGAGAAUCCCUGGUGGAUGGUCCACUGUUUCCAGAAGCACAGGGAACAUCUGUGAAGAGAGUCACGAGCAUCUUUGGCUAUGGUGCUGUGCCAGUCUGAUCCUGCAAGGCUUGCUUUCAGAAUGCAGGCCAGCGCACGAGCUUGGACCAGCAGGCAGCAGAGGAGCCCAGGUCAUGUCAUUGCUGCUGAUCCUUGGCAUAUUUCAUGCAACAGCACACACAGGAGCAUGGCUAACCUCUCAGAAUUGGAGUUUAACACACCCCAGGACAGGAUAUGACAAUCAAGCUGCUACCACAGUCCCUGGUGUUUUUCCAGAGACACCUGAGUCUGUUUCCUGUAAUGGCGACUGCUGGUGGGCCCUCACUGGAUGCUUCUUCUCCAUUUUCUCAGGCAGGUUCAUAACAAGAAACACCUUAUCCCUACAGGAAAUCCCACAACCUUUAGCAAUGACUAUUCAUUGCCAUUUGAUAAGUAGUACCCCCCUGUGCGCCAGGGGCUAGAGAGUGCAAAUUUGAACAAAUUAAGACCACAGACUGCGUUUUAAUAAGGACAAGGAAGGCACAUCUGAAGAGUUCCCGUCUGGAGGAAGAAUGCACUUUCCUGGUUAGGAGAAGCAGCGGGACACAGGGGCCAGACCGCUCAGGGCUUUGAGGAGAUGCUGAAGUUAACCAGAAAUGCUUUGUGUUGCCGUUCCUGUUGAAACGUUUCUGAGAUUGCUUCUACAUGCUGCAGGAGGUUUUGAAAUGCUGCACUAGAUCUCUUAAGAACAGAUGUAUUCAAGCAACUGUCCAGACCAACUGACAGAGGAGAGUCAGGCAUCCUGAAAGGGGCUGGGAAGUUUAUGAAGAUGGGUUAGACUUAGUCUGCACAGCCUGGGGAUCCUGGAUGAGAACUGACUUAUGACAAUAUCAGCAAAAGAAAAAAAAAAUAAAUCCACAGUGUUAUAGCUACAGAACAGUGAUGGGAGUGACGGCCCAGGGGCAUGGACCAAAUCAAGCAUCGUGCUUGAGCUCUUAGACAAGCUUGGACUGCAAGCUCUUGCACUUCCUACGGUCAGGUCCGUACAGCUGUUCUACGUAAGCAUAAAUGUAUUUAUGCAAGUGUAAUGUAUCAUCAUCAGUCAGGCUGGAACAUCUGCAGUGCUCCAGUGUGUGACCCUUUUUCUCCGAGUUGUAACCACACCAUCCUUAGCAAGUUAGCCUUUUGGCUUAGAAAUUUAGACAGCUUUCCGGUGAUAGGUUAUUAGAGAGGGGUGCAAUUUUAAAGACAAAACUAGAAAUGCCAUGAUCACUUCACUUGGCUUUCUUUGUGUCUGUCUUAAUCUCAACCUUGGAAAACACUAAAGUCCGUGGAGGAAGUGGAACAGACUGGCUCAGAACACCAGAGAAGCAGGCUCACUUCUGAUCAGGAGUAUCCCAUCACCGUGGAUAAGUCAUUCAGGUUUCCUGCAUUUCUGUGAAGUGUGGAAAUAGCUGGAAAGGUAGAGGGCUACUCAUCAUCAAAGAUGCUUCCAUGUCCUUUUAAUAUUUCUGUUACAUAUUAAACCAUGUUUCACAUGCA